CUAAUCUUAACCACCUGGCUAACCUAGAGAUUACCCUAAUCUAAUCCAUCAUUAAGAACCCUAAUCACUACUCAAGCAACAUUCUCAAAAACACGAACCCAUAAAUUACUGAAAUCAUAUCAAAAUGUAGAUCUAAACAAGCUAAACAACUUUACUUAAACAACUAAAUGCAAAAAUGAAAUAGAUUAAGAGUAAUUAAGUUUUGAAGAUUCAUAAACACAAAGAAAAACUAAAGGAUAAAAGCUGGAUCCUAAGGACAAACCCCAAAGUGAUCUAUUUAUACUAAAAUGUUGAAAACCCUAGAUUCACUAGAGGACUAGAGACUUGAGGCGGUUUGGGCAAAUGCUCGAUCUUGGGGAUCGAGUAAUGAGGGUGCUGCAAAGUCGGCGCCUUUGUGUCUAUGCUCUGAGUGAUCAAUUUGAUCGAGUAGAUGCUUCUUCCUCUCCUAUCCGUAUGCUCAAAUGUCUGGUUGAGUGGGGAAUGAGGAGGAUCCGAAGACGCUUUGAUAGAUCAACAAUUCUUGUAGAGUUGGUCACCCUUGGUCGAGUAAAUGGGUCGAGUAGAGGAUCGAGUAGGAGGGGCGAAUAGAUCAAUCUGCUGCUUCAUCUGAAGCUGCCUUGAUCGAGUAAGAGGGUCGAGUACACUGCAGCCUCCUCUAUAGCUGCCAGGAUCGAGUAAAGAGGUCGAGUGAAUUGAUGUCUCUUAUGUAGUUGCCUGGAUCGAGUAGAGACCUUUUUAGCUCCUUCUGCACCUGAAAACACACCAAAACAUGCAAUGCGUAUGCAAGAUGAUCAUAGAUGCCUAAGUAUGUAAAAUAAGCUAAAAUGGUGCAAAAUGAUAUGAUACAAAAAAUGCACAGCUAAAUGAUGAUAAAAAUAUGCCUAAAAUGAGUAAAAUACAGUGUUAUUAGGGAGACGAGUACUUUUCUUUUUUACAUUGGUCGAAGUAUCAGGUAUGAACAAGGAGUCAAGUCCUACGAACACUAACUGUUUUGAAGAGGUAAAAGGAAGAGCAGUGAGAUUGGCUCUAGCCUUUUGGAUUAUGUUGGAAAACUGGAUGUCCUUAAUUUUAUCAGUUUGCCUUCUGGAUUUUUCAUUAGUCGGACUAAAUCGAAUUUGUAGUACUUAAUCAAUCCAGACAAUAAACUCGAAAGAAAGAUCAUAAUUUGAGACAAAAGUUUUGACUCAAUAAAACAACUCUCUAAUAAAAACAACACAACCAACUCUUAAGAAAAGAAAAAAUGAAG
rnacentral:sRNA from 1 species